UACGUAGGGUGCGAGCGUUAAUCGGAAUACUGGGCGUAAAGCGUGCGCAGGCGGCGGCUCAAGUCAGGUGUGAAAUCCCCGGGCUUAACCUGGGAAUUGCGCUUGAAACUAGGCUGCUUGAGUGUGGCAGAGGGGGGUGGAAUUCCACGUGUAGCAGUGAAAUGCGUAGAGAUGUGGAGGAACACCGAUGGCGAAGGCAGCCCCUGG
rnacentral:rRNA from 1 species